UACGGAGGAUGCAAGCGUUAUCCGGAAUUAUUGGGCGUAAAGCGUCCGCAGGUGGCUAUGUAAGUCUGCUGUUAAAGGGUGAGGCUCAACCUCAUAAAAGCAGUGGAAACUACAUGGCUAGAGUGCGUUCGGGGCAGAGGGAAUUCCUGGUGUAGCGGUGAAAUGCGUAGAGAUCAGGAAGAACACCGGUGGCGAAAGCGCUCUGCUAGGCCGCAACUGACACUGAGGGACGAAAGCUAGGGGAGCGAAUGGG
rnacentral:rRNA from 1 species